AAACAAGAUACAUUUGCGGUUAUUUUCGUCAAAUUCCAGAGCAAUAUGACAAGACAAACUCAUUUGAUGAGGUCAUCACCUUAUUCAAAGCCGGUUUCAAUUGAGAAAUCGAGCAACAUGAGAAGAGAAACUAGGUUGAUAAAUUUAUCUCCUCAUUCAACCCCGAUUUUAGUUGACAAAUCAAUUGAUGAACGAAAUAUGGGAAGACAAAAUCAUUCCGAUAAUGUUAAAGUGUUAGAAUCUCGAAAGAAUGUUGUUGGACAAUCUGAGAAAAAGAAGAGCAAAGUGGUUAGAGUGGAUGAUGUUGAAGGUAAGAGAAAAUAUGUCAUGGAGGACGAAGUGAAUUUGGGUGUCAAACCAAAACAAAGUAAGGUUCAGAAGGCAGAAAAAGUUAAAAUUCCUGACAAAGUUUGUAAGGUAUAUACAAUUUCAGUUAUAUUUUUUUUUAUUGUUGAAUCUUCUUUUAUAAUUGAAUUUAGUUUGUAUUUAUUUGUUGUUAAUUCAUGUCAUUUAUUUGUAGCCUUGGAAGCUUUAUCUUCCAGUUGGUUAGCCUUUUCUUGUUACUCAUUGGACAUCAUAUACUAAUAUGGGCAUCGUAUCAGUUUUACAGUCAAAGUUGAUUGAUGUCCAUCUUCAGAUGUUUAGGGAAAAUUGUUUUGACUAUUUUCUUGAUUUACCUCGAGUUGCUAUCAAGGCGCAACUGAUUCGUUCUUUAAUGUUUAGGGAAUUGGUUCAAGAUAAGUGUGAUCAAUUUUAUGUGAAAUUAAAUAACGAAUGUAUUUUACGUUUUGGUCUUCGGGAAUUUGGUGAAUACCAAUAGGUAAGUGGUUUAAACUGUUGUAGCAAUGAACAUGUUGAGGGUAACUUCAGUGGAACCAAUAGGUUGGUGAAUACUUAUUUUUCUGGUUUUGAAGCGGUGUCAAAGAAGUCGCUUAUUGAUUAUUUUGAGAAGAAAAAAUGACAGUCUGAUGAAGACGCAGUUAAGAUUGCAAUCAUUUAUAUCAUAAACAUAUUUCUAAUACCCACUCAGGCUCAGAAGACAUUUAUAAGUAAGCGUGAUUUACAUCUUGUCGAGAGUGGUGAGUAUGUGUUCUUUCCCUUGGCUAAGAUUGCGUUUCGAGCUUUAAUGAAGUCGGUAAGUGACAGGUUUAGGGGAAAGUUUGAGUUUUAUAUUAUUGGUGGAUUUUCUCUUGCACUACAAGUGUGGUCUAUGAAUAUUGCACUGUAGUUGAUAAAAAGUUUGAUGUUCGCGUCGGAGAUCAUACACCAUGCAUAUUGAAUUGGGAAAUAAUAGGCAGGCCAAUACGUGAGGACUUCUCUACUGGUUUCUUCAACAUCACAGGGAAUAAGGUACUGACUUUUAUGUAUUUGUGCGUUAUACAUAUAUGAUACACUGUAAUUCAUUGUGAUACAUCAAAUAUAUAAUUUUUAUAUAUCUUUGAUACAUCUAGGACUAAACCACUCUUUGUUAUAUUUGUAGGUAAAAAAUAUUUCCUACAACUUAAGAGCUACAGAGAUUUACUUUGCCUAUUGAAGUUAACGAUGAGUAUCAUAAAUAUUUGACAUCACGUAACAGGGGAAAGCUUCCUAUUGAUGAUAGCGAUGAUUUUGUCAGACCACCUCCGAAACUGAUUAAGGAGCCGGUCCCACCAAAAAAGAUGCCGGGUGUCCAACCUAUUGAUUGUGAUCGUGAGUUGCAGAAGUUAAAAGCUGAUGUUAACCAACUCCAUAAGCCGUUAAAGUCCUUCAUGGAAUAUGUUUGUGAUAAAUUCAAGGAAGUCUUUGAGUUGAUAAAUUCCAAGCUUAGUGCAAGUGAAGAUAAAUAUGGUGCACAUCCAGACGAAGGCACCUGUGGUGGUCAAGACAAUAAUGAUUUUGUGAACAAUAUGGAGUUUGAUGGCAAUGAAGAUGUUGACAUGGAUGGUUGUAAGAUGUGUUUAGUUGUGCAUUCUGCCUUUUUCCUUUUUCUUUUCUUUGUUGUUUUUUCGAUUUUUUUUUAAAAAAAAAUAGGUCGGUGGAAGUGAAGGCAAAGAUGUUCCACAUUCUCAAGGAGAUACCAGUGCGCAUCAUCGUAACAACAUUAUGCUCGAUGAAGCAAAUCAAUUUAGCGGAUGUUGGAGCUAUUGGUGAGACUGCAGAUGAGGCGACAUGGAAGAUGGAGGCAGAAUCUGAGAAAGAAAGGUUCCCAAAUCUUAUAUCCGCACUAUUUAUGUGACUGCAAGUGUUGAUGAGGCGGCAGGGGAGAUGAAGGAACAAUCUGAGAAAGAGGUUCCUCAAUCUCAUAUUGUUCUUUACCAGCCUGAAUUACUUCAUGAAGUUUCUCCGCAAAUGGAAAAAAGAAAGAGAUGUCCUGCAAAGGCCGUGCAGUUUCUAUUUAUUACUGUAUUUGAUUCAGGAUCUAGUAGUGGUGUUGUUAUAACGAAAGAAAAAAAAUAAAUUUAUGCUGUUAAGCAUCCUUUUCAAAACAAAAUCGGAAUUGGCAUUAACAGCACUUUGUUGAAUGUAUUUGUUAUGUGGGUCAAAGAA